CGAUGGGAUUUGUUGUCCGAUGGGCUCCUCAGUCGGAAACGACUGAAGGAUAAUCUGUCAAAUUCGGUGGAACCCUUGAUGCAAAUCAAAGGUAAUACCGAGCCAAGUCCGUCAAUUAUUUGUGGCGGAAAGGUGUAGAGACUAAACGGCAGAUCCGCUUCUAGCGGAAAGAUAUAGUCCAGACUACAAAUGCCGA
rnacentral:ncRNA from 1 species